rnacentral:rRNA from 1 species
ACGGGGUAGUAAUGCGUAGGUGACGUGCCCUGCGGUCGGGGAUAGCUUAGGGAAACUUAAGGUAAUACCCGAUGAUACCAUGAGGUUUGAAUACCAUAUGGUCAAAGGUGAGAUUCCACCACAGGAGCGGCUUGCGUGGUAUUAGCUAGUUGGUGAGGUAACGGCUCACCAAGGCUUCGAUGCCUAGGGGAUGUUAGCGCAUGAUCCCCACCACUGGGACUGAGAUACUGCCCAGACACCUACGGGUGGCUGCAGUCGAGAAUCUUCGGCAAUGGGGGCAACCCUGACCGAGCGACGCCGCGUGUGGGAUGAAGGCCCUUGGGUUGUAAACCACUGUCAGAGGGGAUGAAAUGCUAGAGAGCUAUCUCUCUAGUUUGACAUAGCCUCAGAGGAAGCACGGGCUAAGUUCGUGCCAGCAGCCGCGGUAAGACGAACUGUGCAAACGUUAUUCGGAAUCACUGGGCUUGAAGAGUGCGUAGGCGGUUUCGUAAGUAGGGUGUGAAAGCCCUCGGCUCAACCGGGGAAUUGCGUCCUAAACUGCGAGGCUGGAGUGAGGCAGGGGUGUGUGGAACUUCCAGUGGAGCGGU